CAGCUCCAAUAGCGUAUAUUAAAGUUGUUGCAGUUAAAAAGCUCGUAGUUGGAUUUCGGGGUGGCACGGCCGGUCCGCCGCAAGGUGUGUCACUGGCCGGGCCGUCCUUUUUCGCAAAGACUGCGUGUGCUCUUARCUGAGUGUGCGCAGGACUUGCGACGUUUACUUUGAAAAAAUUAGAGUGUUCAAAGCAGGCCAGCGCUUGAAUACAUAAGCAUGGAAUAAUGGAAUAGGACUUGGGUUCUAUUUUGUUGGUUUCUGGAACCGAAGUAAUGAUUAAGAGGGACAGUUGGGGGCAUUCGUAUUUCGUUGUCAGAGGUGAAAUUCUUGGAUUUACGAAAGACGAACUACUGCGAAAGCAUUUGCCAAGAAUGUUUUCA
rnacentral:rRNA from 1 species